GGCUGGUUAGCUCAGUUGGUCAGAGCGUGGUGCUAGCAACGCCAAGGACAUGGGUUCAACCCCUGUACAGGCCA